UACAGAGGGGGCAAGCGUUGUUCGGAAUUACUGGGCGUAAAGGGCGCGUAGGCGGCCUUCUAAGUCGAACGUGAAAUCCCCGGGCUCAACCCGGGAACUGCGUCCGAUACUGGAAGGCUUGAAUCCGGGAGAGGGAUGCGGAAUUCCAGGUGUAGCGGUGAAAUGCGUAGAUAUCUGGAGGAACACCGGUGGCGAAGGCGGUUCUCUGGGCCUGCACUGACGCUGAGGAACGAAAGCGUGGGGAGCGAACAGG
rnacentral:rRNA from 1 species